GCUUGCAUCUAGGGCGUGUUUAAUUGGUUUGCUUCUUUUUCACUCUGGAAUCGAAAUUGUAAUGAGCGAAUCCGUUUGUAGGUGUUUGGUACGUAGGAGUCCCAUUCUGAUUCCGAUUCCCAACUGGAAUGAGAAUCCCCCAAUGUCAUGUCCCGGAUUACUCGUUUCCCCGGGCACGCCAACAGACCCGCCGUAUAUAUAGAAAUUUUUCCUGUAUACGAAGCGAUAGCUGUACCUGUACCUGUACCUGUAAUCAUACAAUACUACAACCAGUAGUAUAGAGCUGCUAAAAAGAACAACAUAUAGAUAUAAAUAACACUGGUUCAACAUACAUACAUACUAUCCAAAUACAAAAACACUCGCUCUAGCGAGUUAGAACAUCAGUAUGUAUAAGAACCCAAAAACUAUAAUUACCUAUAGCUGAUACUCCUCUAGUUCUGUAACUCAUCAGGAAGGGCUCUAACUCGCAACACCCUUUCCACGAUCAGAAUCAGUAGUAGCAGCAGCCGCAACCGAAGGCUUUGCAAAAGAAUCACAACUGGGUGUAAGAACUACUGCGAAAAGGAAGUAGUUCUCAGUGGGUACCGCUACCGAUCUCAACGGCUCACCCACUAAGUCUACAGAAUGUAUGCUCAAUGAUAGUAAGGAACUGAAAAAAAUCUACAACUAUAUGCCACUAUACUCUCACGAUUCAAUACUAACUAUCAGUAGAACAAUGCAAUCUCUGACUCAAUCUCACUAGGGACUGCGAAUACACCCGUCCCGCCUAUCGAAGCUACAUAGCUACCUCCAUGCUAGGCCGUCAGUGGAGAGCAAGUCCAAUCAAGACACAACGAUACCAACACAAACGCACUAAGCUCGACUCCGGAGUGGCACUCGUAGGUGCUACCCAACCGAGUAUGCAGGUGUGUCUCUAUCGAGCUCAAUCAGGCUCUCACAGGCUAUAAUCAAAGUAAACAAGGUCUAACAACCAAACUCACGUGCCCUCAGCACAAUCUGAUGCAAAAACAGAAAUCUGGGUCCACCAUCAACCUCAACGGCACCAGACAGUCCGGAACAGUCUAAACAUUGCUGUAAAAAAUAAGCUCGACAUCUCAGUACAAGUGUAAAUACAUUCUACACUAUCCUGGGUAUCUACCGCCUACAAACUGCGGCGAUACAAACAAACUACGGCUUCUAGAGCUAAAUCUGGUAGUUUUAGCAAAUGACGGUGUAGAAUAACUAGUUUUCUCCUAAGUCAAUUCCAACUCCAAUAUGUAUAUUUUAUCUAAUAUACUAGGCUCCAAUUCAGAUUUUA
rnacentral:lncRNA from 1 species